rnacentral:tRNA from 1 species
CAUUAAGAAGCUAUAUACCAGCGCUAGCCUUUUAAGCUAGAGACUGAGGAUCGCCCGCCCUCCUUAAUGA